GGACGCCGCGUCCCGAGCGGCCGGCGGCCGGAGCUCGCCCCCGCCCCUCCCUCCUCUCCUCCGGCGGCGGCGGCGGCGGCGGCGGGCGGAGUGAGCUGCGGAGCCUGGAAUAUGGUCGGGGAAAUGGAAACGAAGGAGAAGCCGAAGCCCACCCCAGAUUACUUGAUGCAGCUGAUGAACGACAAGAAGCUCAUGAGCAGCCUGCCCAACUUCUGCGGGAUCUUCAACCACCUCGAGCGGCUGCUGGACGAAGAAAUUAGCAGAGUACGGAAAGACAUGUACAAUGACACAUUAAAUGGCAGUACAGAGAAAAGGAGUGCAGAAUUGCCUGAUGCCGUGGGACCUAUUGUUCAGUUACAAGAGAAACUUUAUGUGCCUGUAAAAGAAUACCCAGAUUUUAAUUUUGUUGGGAGAAUCCUUGGACCUAGAGGACUUACAGCUAAACAACUUGAAGCAGAAACAGGAUGUAAAAUCAUGGUCCGAGGCAAAGGCUCCAUGAGGGAUAAAAAGAAGGAGGAGCAAAACAGAGGCAAGCCCAAUUGGGAGCAUCUAAAUGAAGAUUUACAUGUACUAAUCACUGUGGAAGAUGCUCAGAACAGAGCAGAGAUCAAGCUGAAGAGAGCAGUUGAAGAAGUGAAGAAGUUACUGGUACCUGCAGCCGAAGGAGAAGACAGCCUGAAGAAGAUGCAGCUGAUGGAGCUUGCAAUUCUGAAUGGCACCUAUAGAGAUGCCAACAUUAAAUCACCAGCCCUUGCCUUUUCUCUUGCAGCAACUGCCCAGGCUGCUCCAAGGAUCAUCACUGGGCCUGCGCCUGUCCUCCCACCAGCUGCUCUGCGUACACCUACGCCAGCUGGUCCUACCAUAAUGCCUUUGAUCAGACAAAUACAGACCGCUGUCAUGCCAAACGGAACUCCUCACCCAACUGCUGCAAUAGUCCCUCCGGGGCCUGAAGCUGGGUUAAUCUACACACCCUAUGAAUACCCCUACACGUUGGCACCAGCUACAUCAAUCCUUGAGUACCCUAUUGAACCCAGUGGUGUGUUAGGUAUGGCUUUCCCAACGAAAGGCUAAGAAUUCAAGAACGGUCUUAACCGAACCCUCAUCAGAUCUGAAUUUAACCAAUGCUUAGUCUCAGCAGCCUCCGGGGAAAAGCUUAGCCUAGCAGUCAGUGACUUACUUGCACUUUUGCACAUAGAUAUAAAGUAAAAUGAUGUUAUUAAUUUGGAUUAGUCUGUAAUACUGCAAAGCAAUGGUAAUUUAUAAAAGGAGUGUAUAGUAGUAUACUGACUGCUAAGUGUACUGUACUGUUUGCUUUACUAAUCACCUAAUUCAUUGCAGUUCAUACUUAUUGACUCAAAAGUUUAAAACCACAAUCUGUAGGCUUUAAGAGUUGCUUUUUAAACCUUUUUUAAGUGAUAAACUCUGAAAGUUAAGGUUAGCAAAUACUUGUCAGUAUUAAAUGUGGCAUUAUUUAAGUAGUCCUGCUGCAAGAAAGGCACUUCAGUGAAUAUGUGACUAGUAAAGCUCAGCUACGUCUGGUUCUAAUAGAGCUCAUGAGACACUGUGACUUGGGGACUGUAAAUGAAGGGAUGAAGUAGGUGGAAGGCCAACCUGUUUGAAAUGAAUGCAAUAUUGAUAGAUGCAUAUAUACAUGGCAUACUACAGUUAAUUUUAAAACUACUGUGCCUUAACGUGUUUCUUAAGCUUUUGUAGUAAGUGAACAUUUGAGAUCCAUUUUGAUAAACCUGCUGUCGAUGUUUCCCUUAUGUAUGUUUUCUAACUUUGUCUUGGUAAUUGCAAUUUAACUAGGUGCGGUGGCUACUAAAGUUCGAAGGCACGAUAUGCGUGUCCAUCCUUACCAAAGGAUUGUGACCGCAGACCGAGCCGCCACCGGCAACUAACCUAUGACCUUCUGACCUCUGAACUCUUCACCCAAUGAUGACCUGACCAUGCCUGCCUGCUGAUCAGUUAACUGGUAAUCGCCUUUGCUUGCCUGUCGUCAGUGCAGCGAGCUGAGGCACUUGUCCGUUCGUCUUACCAUCUAACCAAACAAAAGACAAAGAAAUUGUCCUCCAACUCAGCUUCCCCCCCACCCCCUCUGUUUGGGUGAAAGUGGUUCUAGAACCUGCACUGAAUAGUAGUAAAGCAAUAAGGCCCGAUUCAUCCCACAGCACUGAUCAUCUUUCAAUGCCCCACCCCAAGCGAACGGUAAGAAGGCCUCUCUUAAGAAGGGGAGACAGAUGGCCCUAACUACUCAGUGACAGAGGCAGUUACUGUGAGAGACUUGUAGGAAUCUUUUUCUUCUCCUAGCGAAGUCACAGCUCUCUCUGAAUGUACUGUGUGACAAUGCAUCAUGCAUGAACCUUCGGUCAGGGAUGUCAUUGGUGAAGUGACUUCACAAGUAUUCAAAAUUUGACAUGCUCUUUGUUUAGUCACUACAGUGCCCUCAAAGGGCAGAAAUCGCAGCCUUUUAUAUUGCCUGCCAAAAUUUGAAGUAUUAGAACAAAGUGUGCCAUGAGAGAAAAACUUAACAAGGAGUUUUGAAAAGUAAUGCAAAGAACAAAACUGCAACACUAUUUUUAAAAAGUUGAGUAUCUGAGUUAAAAUUUCCAAAUCUUUAUUUUACACCACCUUAAAAAUUAUACGAGAACAAGGUACAUGCAUUAUGUGUCACAUUACUGGGCAAACUGUUCAAAUAUUUUUUUUAAACCUCCCUGUAUAGAAAAUAUCAUUAAGGAUGUAAAAGCCAUGCUUGCCUAUUUGCUGUAUACAUGUAAUGAAAUUGUAGAUAAAGUGUAGUGCAUUGAAACAAAUGAACAAAAAGUAGAUACUUUUACUAUACAAGGGUGCUGGUGCAGAAAAAAUAUAUAUAUUUUUGGAAAUGUAGCAUUUUAUACUUUCAAGUGUUAUAAAAAAAAAAAGAAAAAGAA